GUACUCACUUCGGCAGUACCGAUACUAAAACCGGAACAAUACGGAAAAGAUGAUCAUGGCCCCUGAGCAAGGACGACACACAAAUCUGUGAUGUAUUAAAUAUUAGG